CCUUGCUUGAUGUCGGAGCCUAACCUCGGGUUCCGACCUGCGGGUGACGGACGCAGGCGCUGAGUACUUUGCGUUAGGUUUUCCUCGCCUUAAGAUGGCCGCUAAACCUGACACUUGGGUCUGGAGUUUCCCUUCCCCUUCAUGCUGAGAGUGUGGGGAGUGGAUGGGUGCGCUUGAGGCCUCCAGAACCCAAGCAGCGACCGAAGCUGUUGGAGGAACCUGAGAGAGUCUUUCAGAAAAGUGUAAAAGACACACACACAAAAAGGCACCGCUGGUCACCUGUCACAAUCAUGGUAAAUGACCAUUUGGCCAGAUUGGCUGUCGGAUUGGAUUUUCAAAGAAAUCUGGACUCAUGCUGUUUGCAGAAGGCACACCUUAAAGAGGGAUAUGGAUGAAUGAACAUAAAUGGCUGGAAAAUACCCACAAGAAUAAAGCUGGUGUAUCUAUACAAAUAGCAAACAUUGCAGUACUUAGCAAUUAUUUUCUUUUUGGUGCUGGGGAUGGGACCCAGGGCUUCCCUCCUGCAUGCUAAACAAGUGCUCUACUGCUGAGCUAUAUCCACAGCCCCAACAAAAAGUACUUGCGAGAGAAAAGAGCAUCUACGUCACAAUUAUAGGGAUAGGGCUAACCCACUAACAGAACAGAUCUCAGGUGGUGUUAUCUAACAACUUAUCCUCAACACAUAUGAAAUAAAUAUCAAGUGAAAAGACAACCCACAGGAGAGGCUGGUGUGGUAGCACACACCUGUAAUCCCAGCAUUCAGAAGGCUGAGGCAGGAGGAUCUCCAGGAUUUCAAAACCAGCCUGGACUACAUAAUGAGUUCAAGGCCACCUUGGACUGCAUAGUGAGAUCCUGUCUCAAACCCAAC
rnacentral:lncRNA from 1 species